CGGUAAGGUGAUAUGAACCGUUAUAACCGGCGAUUUCCGAAUGGGGAAACCCAGUGUGAUUCGUCACACUAUCAUUAACUGAAUCCAUAGGUUAAUGAGGCGAACCGGGGGAACUGAAACAUCUAAGUACCCCGAGGAAAAGAAAUCAACCGAGAUUCCCCCAGUAGCGGCGAGCGAACGGGGAGGAGCCCAGAGCCUGAAUCAGCAUGUGUGUUAGUGGAAGCGUCUGGAAAGGCGCGCGAUACAGGGUGACAGCCCCGUACACAAAAGCGCAUGUGCUGUGAGCUCGAUGAGUAGGGCGGGACACGUGGUAUCCUGUCUGAAUAUGGGGGGACCAUCCUCCAAGGCUAAAUACUCCUGACUGACCGAUAGUGAACCAGUACCGUGAGGGAAAGGCGAAAAGAACCCCGGCGAGGGGAGUGAAAAAGAACCUGAAACCGU
rnacentral:rRNA from 1 species